UACGUAGGGCGCAAGCGUUGUCCGGAAUUAUUGGGCGUAAAGAGCUCGUAGGCGGCCUGUUGCGUCCGCUGUGAAAUCCCGGGGCUUAACCCCGGGCCUGCAGUGGAUACGGGCAGGCUGGAGGCAGGCAGGGGAGAACGGAAUUCCCGGUGUAGCGGUGAAAUGCGCAGAUAUCGGGAGGAACACCAAUAGCGAAGGCAGCUCGCUGGGACGUUACUGACACUGAGGCGCGAAAGCGUGGGGAGCGAACAGG
rnacentral:rRNA from 1 species